CUUAACACAUGCAAGUCGAGGGGCAGCACAGGUAGCAAUACCGGGUGGCGACCGGCGCACGGGUGAGUAACGCGUAUGCAACUUGCCUAUCAGAGGGGGAUAACCCGGCGAAAGUCGGACUAAUACCGCAUGAAGCAGGGGCCCCGCAUGGGGAUAUUUGCUAAAGAUUCAUCGCUGAUAGAUAGGCAUGCGUUCCAUUAGGCAGUUGGCGGGGUAACGGCCACCAAACCGACGAUGGAUAGGGGUUCUGAGAGGAAGGUCCCCCACAUUGGUACUGAGACACGGACCAAACUCCUACGGGAGGCAGCAGUGAGGAAUAUUGGUCAAUGGCCGAGAGGCUGAACCAGCCAAGUCGCGUGAGGGAUGAAGGUUCUAUGGAUCGUAAACCUCUUUUAUAAGGGAAUAAAGUGCGGGACGUGUCCCGUUUUGUAUGUACCUUAUGAAUAAGGAUCGGCUAACUCCGUGCCAGCAGCCGCGGUAAUACGGAGGAUCCGAGCGUUAUCCGGAUUUAUUGGGUUUAAAGGGUGCGUAGGCGGCCUUUUAAGUCAGCGGUGAAAGUCUGUGGCUCAACCAUAGAAUUGCCGUUGAAACUGGGGGGCUUGAGUAUGUUUGAGGCAGGCGGAAUGCGUGGUGUAGCGGUGAAAUGCAUAGAUAUCACGCAGAACCCCGAUUGCGAAGGCAGCCUGCCAAGCCAUUACUGACGCUGAUGCACGAAAGCGUGGGGAUCAAACAGGAUUAGAUACCCUGGUAGUCCACGCAGUAAACGAUGAUCACUAGCUGUUUGCGAUACACUGUAAGCGGCACAGCGAAAGCGUUAAGUGAUCCACCUGGGGAGUACGCCGGCAACGGUGAAACUCAAAGGAAUUGACGGGGGCCCGCACAAGCGGAGGAACAUGUGGUUUAAUUCGAUGAUACGCGAGGAACCUUACCCGGGUUUGAACGCAUUCGGACCGAGGUGGAAACACCUUUUCUAGCAAUAGCCGUUUGCGAGGUGCUGCAUGGUUGUCGUCAGCUCGUGCCGUGAGGUGUCGGCUUAAGUGCCAUAACGAGCGCAACCCUUGCCACUAGUUACUAACAGGUAAAGCUGAGGACUCUGGUGGGACUGCCAGCGUAAGCUGCGAGGAAGGCGGGGAUGACGUCAAAUCAGCACGGCCCUUACAUCCGGGGCGACACACGUGUUACAAUGGCGUGGACAAAGGGAAGCCACCUGGCGACAGGGAGCGAAUCCCCAAACCACGUCUCAGUUCGGAUCGGAGUCUGCAACCCGACUCCGUGAAGCUGGAUUCGCUAGUAAUCGCGCAUCAGCCAUGGCGCGGUGAAUACGUUCCCGGGCCUUGUACACACCGCCCGUCAAGCCAUGGGAGCCGGGGGUACCUGAAGUCCGUAACCGCGAGGAUCGGCCUAGGGUAAAACUGGUGACUGGGGCUAAGUC
rnacentral:rRNA from 1 species